AGAGUUUGAUCCUGGCUCAGGAUGAACGCUAGCGGCAGGCUUAACACAUGCAAGUCGAGGGGCAGCACGGGUAGCAAUACCUGGUGGCGACCGGCGGAAGGGUGCGUAACGCGUGAGCAACAUGCCCUAUACAGGGGAAUAAACCAGGGAAACUUGGUCUAAUGCCCCAUAGCAAUAAGAUAAGGCAUCUUAUUUUAUUUAAAGCUUCGGUGGUAUAGGAUUGGCUCGCGUGACAUUAGCUGGAUGGUGGGGUAACGGCCCACCAUGGCGAUGAUGUCUAGGGGUUCUGAGAGGAAGACCCCCCACACUGGGACUGAGACACGGCCCAGACUCCUACGGGAGGCAGCAGUGAGGAAUAUUGGACAAUGGAUGGAAAUCUGAUCCAGCCAUGCCGCGUGCAGGAAGACGGCCCUAUGGGUUGUAAACUGCUUUUCUACGGGAGCAGUAAGGUCUACGCGUAGACUGAUGAGAGUACCGUAGGAAUAAGCAUCGGCUAACUCCGUGCCAGCAGCCGCGGUAAUACGGAGGAUGCGAGCGUUAUCCGGAUUUAUUGGGUUUAAGGGGCGUAGGCGGCUUUUUAAGUCAGCGGUGAAAUUUUGCAGCUUAACUGUAACAGUGCCCGUUGAAUACUGGGGGAGCUAGGAUUUGGGUUGCUGUGGGUGGAAUGUGUGGUGUAGCGGUGAAAAUGCUUAGAGAUCACACAGAAAUAUCGAUUGCGAAGGCAGCUCACAAAGCCAAGAUUGACGCUGAGGCACGAAAGUGUGGGGAUCAAACAGGAUUAGAUACCCUGGUAGUCCCACACUGUAAACGAUGAUAACUCGCUGUCGGCGAUACACAGUCGGUGGCCAAGCGAAAGCGAUAAGUUAUCCACCUGGGGAGUACGACCGCAAGGUUGAAACUCAAAGGAAUUGACGGGGGCCCGCACAAGCGGAGGAACAUGUGGUUUAAUUCGAUGAUACGCGAGGAACCUUACCCGGGCUCGAACGGCAGACGACUUAUACAGAGACGUAUAUUCCCUUCGGGGCGUCUGUCGAGGUGCUGCAUGGUUGUCGUCAGCUCGUGUCGUGAGAUGUUGGCUUAAGUGCCAUAACGAGCGCAACCCUUGUCGUUAGUUGCCAUCAAGUUAAGUUGGGGACUCUAGCGAGACUGCCACCGCAAGGUGUGAGGAGGGAGGGGAUGACGUCAAAUCAGCACGGCCCUUACGUCCGGGGCGACACACGUGUUACAAUGGCGGUUACAAAGGGCAGCCACCCGGCUACGGGGCGCCAAUCUCUAAAAGCCGCCUCAGUUCGGACUGGAGUCUGCAACUCGACUCCACGAAGCUGGAUUCGCUAGUAAUCGCGCAUCAGCCACGGCGCGGUGAAUACGUUCCCGGGCCUUGUACACACCGCCCGUCAAGCCAUGAAAGCCGGGGGUGCCUGAAGUUCGUGACCGCGAGGAGCGACCUAGGGCAAACCUGGUAAUUGGGGCUAAGUCGUAACAAGGUAACC
rnacentral:rRNA from 1 species